rnacentral:tRNA from 1 species
GAGAGAGGUAUAAUACAAUAAGAACUGCUAAUUCUACAUCUGAGAUUAAUCCCUCAGCUUCCUCACU